CUGAACCAAACCAAUGUAUUUCUUAAAUGUAUUUGAGUGAUGUCUCAUGCCUCCCUAAAAUAUAUAAAACCAGGUGUGGUGGCUCACGCCUGCAAUCCCAACACUUUGGGAGGCUGAGGUGGGUGGAUCACCUGAGGUCAGGAGUUUGAGACCAGCCUGGCCAACAUGGCGAAACCCUGUCUCUACUAAAAAUACAAAAAAUUAGCUGGGCGUGGUAGUGGGCUCCUGUAG
rnacentral:lncRNA from 10 species